rnacentral:tRNA from 2 species
GGGCGAGUGGCGAAACUGGCAGACGCGCACGGUUCAGGGCCGUGUGGGAGCAAUCCCAUGGAGGUUCAAAUCCUCUCUCGCCCACCU